GGGAGUGAUUAUUGGCCCAAUGAACCUCUUUGAGAAUAAAGUGGUGAGGGGUGUAUACUUGUCCACUAAAGCUCCAAAAGGGUGGUGGAAAUCAUAUACUUGCCCAGUGAAGCUCUAAGAGAGUAGUGGGAAGUGUAAACUUGCCUAGUGAAGCUCUAAAAGAGUGAUGGGAAGUGGUGUAAUUGUCGGUGAAACCUUCUAGAGAGUGGUGGGAAAUGUCAUUGUAUAAUGGUGUGGUAAAGUGUAUUAGCCCGAUGAAGCUCUUUAAGAGAGUGGUGGAAGAUAACACUUGACCUUAUGGGUGCAUGCGAGUAAUUCGUCAGUGAUUCAAUAUAUAUAGUGAAUGAUGUCAGACAAAUUGGGUAUGAGUUUUUGAUUGACUAAAUGAGUUUGGGUGUGACUUGAUUACUUUGACGAAAUAGUUGCAAGGUUAUAUGCUGAUGACAUUGAUUGUUGAUAUUGUGGUUGUUAAUGAUUUGUUUUGAGGUGAUGUAUAUGAUUUCAUGUGAAGAUAUGUGUAGGUGUAUGAAGAUAUGUAUUGUUUGAAGUCUUAUUCUAAGUAGAUGUUUAAUACAUAUGUAUGUUUAUAUGACUUGUUUCUGUUAGCCCAC
rnacentral:lncRNA from 1 species